GGGGACAACGUUUCGAAAGGAACGCUAAUACCGCAUACGUCCUACGGGAGAAAGCAGGGGACCUUCGGGCCUUGCGCUAUCAGAUGAGCCUAGGUCGGAUUAGCUAGUUGGUGAGGUAAUGGCUCACCAAGGCGACGAUCCGUAACUGGUCUGAGAGGAUGAUCAGUCACACUGUAACUGAGACACGGUCCAG
rnacentral:rRNA from 1 species